UACGUAGGGUGCAAGCGUUGUCCGGAUUUAUUGGGCGUAAAGAGCUCGUAGGUGGUUUGUUGCGUCGGUUGUGAAAACCCGGGGCUUAACUCCGGGCCUGCAGUCGAUACGGGCAGACUAGAGUUCGGCAGGGGAGACUGGAAUUCCUGGUGUAGCGGUGAAAUGCGCAGAUAUCAGGAGGAACACCGGUGGCGAAGGCGGGUCUCUGGGCCGAUACUGACACUGAGGAGCGAAAGCGUGGGGAGCGAACAGG
rnacentral:rRNA from 1 species